UACGUAGGUGGCAAGCGUUGUCCGGAUUUAUUGGGUUUAAAGGGUGCGUAGGCGGCCCAUUAAGUCAGUGCUGAAAUAUCCCGGCUUAACCGGGAGGGUGGCAUUGAUACUGAUGGGCUUGAGUGCAGUCGAGGUAGGCGGAAUUGACGGUGUAGCGGUGAAAUGCUUAGAUAUCGUCAAGAACACCGAUAGUGUAGACAGCUUACUAGGCUGUAACUGACGCUGAGGCACGAAAGUGUGGGGAUCAAACAGG
rnacentral:rRNA from 1 species